ACUGAGAUACGGCCCAGACUCCUACGGGAGGCAGCAGUGGGGAAUAUUGCACAAUGGGCGCAAGCCUGAUGCAGCGACGCCGCGUGCGGGAUGGAGGCCUUCGGGUUGUAAACCGCUUUUGAUCGGGAGCAAGCCCUUCGGGGUGAGUGUACCUUUCGAAUAAGCACCGGCUAACUACGUGCCAGCAGCCGCGGUAAUACGUAGGGUGCAAGCGUUAUCCGGAAUUAUUGGGCGUAAAGGGCUCGUAGGCGGUUCGUCGCGUCCGGUGUGAAAGCCCAUCGCUUAACGGUGGGUCUGCGCCGGGUACGGGCGGGCUGGAGUGCGGUAGGGGAGACUGGAAUUCCCGGUGUAACGGUGGAAUGUGUAGAUAUCGGGAAGAACACCAAUGGCGAAGGCAGGUCUCUGGGCCGUCACUGACGCUGAGGAGCGAAAGCGUGGGGAGCGAACAGGAUUAGAUACCCUGGUAGUCCACGCCGUAAACGGUGGAUGCUGGAUGUGGGGCCCGUUCCACGGGUUCCGUGUCGGAGCUAACGCGUUAAGCAUCCCGCCUGGGGAGUACGGCCGCAAGGCUAAAACUCAAAGAAAUUGACGGGGGCCCGCACAAGCGGCGGAGCAUGCGGAUUAAUUCGAUGCAACGCGAAGAACCUUACCUGGGCUUGACAUGUUCCCGACAGCCGUAGAGAUAUGGCCUCCCUUCGGGGCGGGUUCACAGGUGGUGCAUGGUCGUCGUCAGCUCGUGUCGUGAGAUGUUGGGUUAAGUCCCGCAACGAGCGCAACCCUCGCCCUGUGUUGCCAGCACGUCAUGGUGGGAACUCACGGGGGACCGCCGGGGUCAACUCGGAGGAAGGUGGGGAUGACGUCAGAUCAUCAUGCCCCUUACGUCCAGGGCUUCACGCAUGCUACAAUGGCCGGUACAGCGGGAUGCGACAUGGCGACAUGGAGCGGAUCCCUGAAAACCGGUCUCAGUUCGGAUUGGAGUCUGCAACCCGACUCCAUGAAGGCGGAGUCGCUAGUAAUCGCGGAUCAGCAACGCCGCGGUGAAUGCGUUCCCGGGCCUUGUACACACCGCCCGUCAAGUCAUGAAAGUGGGCAGCACCCGAAGCCGGUGGCCUAACCCCUUGUGGGAUGGAGCCGUCUAAGGUGAGGCUCGUGAUUGGGACUAAGUCGUAACAAGGUAGCCGUACCGGAAGGUGCGGCUG
rnacentral:rRNA from 1 species